UACGUAGGGAGCAAGCGUUGUCCGGAAUCAUUGGGCGUAAAGCGCGCGUAGGCGGCCCUGUAAGUCCGUUGUGAAAGUCCAGGGCUCAACCCUGGGAUGCCGGUCGAUACUGCCGGACUAGAGUUCGGAAGAGGCGAGUGGAAUUCCCGGCGUAGCGGUGAAAUGCGCAGAUAUCGGGAGGAACACCAAUGGCGAAGGCAGCUCGCUGGGACGUUACUGACGCUGAGACGCGAAAGCGUGGGGAGCAAACAGG
rnacentral:rRNA from 1 species